rnacentral:rRNA from 1 species
CCUACGGGUGGCAGCAGUGAGGAAUAUUGGUCAAUGGGCGGAAGCCUGAACCAGCCAAGUAGCGUGCGGGAUGAAGGCCCUACGGGUCGUAAACCGCUUUUGCACGGGGAUAACACCCUCCACAUGUGGAGGUCUGCAGGUACCGUGCGAAUAAGGGCCGGCUAAUUCCGUGCCAGCAGCCGCGGUAAUACGGAAGGCCCGAGCGUUAUCCGGAUUCAUUGGGCGUAAAGGGAGCGUAGGCGGGCGUUCAAGUCCGCUGGAAAAUCGCGCGGCUCAAACGCGCCCCGCAGUUGAAACUGGACGCCUUGAGUUCACAACAGGCAGGCGGAAUUCGUGGUGUAGCGGUGAGAUGCAUAGAUCUCACGAGGAACCCCGAUUGCGAAGGCAGCCUGCCGGGGUGCGACUGACGCUGAGGCUCGAAGGUGCGGGUAUCAAACAGGAUUAGAUACCCUUGUAGUC